GACGAACGCUGGCGGCGUGCUUAACACAUGCAAGUCGAACGGAAAGGCCCUGCUUUUGUGGGGUGCUCGAGCGGCGAACGGGUGAGUAACACGUGAGUAACCUGCCCUUGACUUUGGGAUAACUUCAGGGAACUGGGGCUAAUACCGGAUAGGAGCUCCUGCUGCAUGGUGGGGGUUGGAAAGUUUCGGCGGUUGGGGAUGGACUCGCGGCUUAUCAGCUUGUUGGUGGGGUAGUGGCUUACCAAGGCUUUGACGGGUAGCCGGCCUGAGAGGGUGACCGGCCACAUUGGGACUGAGAUACGGCCCAGACUCCUACGGGAGGCAGCAGUGGGGAAUAGUGCACAAUGGGCGGAAGCCUGAUGCAGCAACGCCGCGUGCGGGAUGACGGCCUUCGGGUUGUAAACCGCUUUCGCCUGUGACGAAGCGUGAGUGACGGUAAUGGGUAAAGAAGCACCGGCUAACUACGUG
rnacentral:rRNA from 1 species